rnacentral:rRNA from 1 species
GAUGAACGCUGGCGGCGUGCCUAAUACAUGCAAGUCGAGCGAACGGACGAGAAGCUUGCUUCUCUGAUGUUAGCGGCGGACGGGCGAGUAACACGUGGAUCACCUACCUAUAAGACUGGGAUAACUUCGGGAAACCGGAGCUAAUACCGGAUGAUAUUUUGAACCGCAUGGUUCAAAAGUGAAAGACGGUCUUGCUGUCACUUAUAGAUGGAUCCGCGUUGCAUUAGCUAGUUGGUAAGGUAACGGCUUACCAAGGCAACGAUGCAUAGCCGACCUGAGAGGGUGAUCGGCCACACUGGAACUGAGACACGGUCCAGACUCCUACGGGAGGCAGCAGUAGGGAAUCUUGCGCAAUGGGCGAAAGCCUGACGGAGCAACGCCGCGUGAGUGAUGAAGGUCUUCGGAUCGUAAAACUCUGUUAUUAGGGAAGAACAUAUGUGUAAGUAACUGUGCACGUCUUGACGGUACCUAAUCAGAAAGCCACGGCUAACUACGUG